GUCUUCGUGGUGUAACGGUAGCACACUCGGCGCAUAUUCGAGAGGUCCAGGGUUCGAGUCCCGGCGAGGGCA
rnacentral:tRNA from 1 species